AGGGCGGGGCCACGAGUGAAUCGCCUAGAGUGGCUGGUGUUUAGCAUCCUUAUCCAAUAUUUCCCGCAACUGAAGGAAUCGGGGAGAUGCUCACCCACUUUCGCCUUUGUUUUGGGUAUUGUCCAGAUGAUGGCCAGGAUCACUUUACCAAAACAAGUCUUUGCGUCACCAAAGUGAAGAGGACAUCAGAGUCGAAGAGUGGGCAGUUUAAAAUAUUGAGAGGAAGGAGUAGGACGUCGGCCAAGAACCGUAUCUUUUCGUCAGCCACAGUUUAUCUUAGAGGCAAAUGGGAGCCUUUGGGACAUCUUGAGGAGGGGUGUGAGAUGGAUCAAACAUGUGCUUUAGGAAUAGCACUUGGCAAACUGGAGGAUGGACAGAAAAGGAAGAGACUCGAGAAAAGGAAAUGAGCAAUAAUGCCAAGUUAAAAACAGAAUGGACUUUUUCUUUGUUCCCCAUUUCUGCUUGAUGAAAUUUGUUCCUUCCUUCAAGAUCCAACUCAGGUACCUAUAUGAAGGCUUCCCUGACAACCUAGCUGGAUGCGAUUCCUUAAAUUUUUCACAGCAUUCUGAGUGAAACUUUCCUUUGUACGUAUCACAUUCUGCUUAAAGAAUAAUAAAGAACAGUUCUUUUUACACAUAUCAUCCUCCUGCUAUUUAUCUGUAAUUCCACAGAAGGUAGGAAUGACAUUUUGUUUUUAUAUCCUCAGUGCCUUGAACAUAGUGGAUAAUUGACAAAUUUAUAUUUUAAAUGAACUGAGACAUAUUAUCAAAGGAGACUGAGGAGAUAGUGCUUGUUAAAGGUUUUAAUACAUAAUCAAGAUAGCUUAGAUGACUGUUAUUCAAAGAAUAAAAAUGGGGAAAAAGCCAUAAUGUUCCACACACUAUAGCUGUUUUUGCCCCAAAAGAAAAAAAAAAAAAUUAAGUUCAACCAGUUCAACAAUUCUAAUUUUUUCCCAUCACCACUUUUGCUCUUCCACAGGGUUAAAUUGAAGGAAGUUAAAAAAAAUCUCUCUAAUAGCUAAUGAAUACAAAAAAGUGAACCACAGGAAACAAAGUUCAGAUUAAAGUUUGCUAUGUUUAGAUAACAUUUUCAAAGCAAUAUGGCUUAGAUUAUCUAAAUUAGAAAUGAAUCUAAUACAUAUUCAAUGAAAAGAAGUUAUUUUUUUAAUACUACUUUUGCAAUGAUACCUAGGAGAACACAUCACUAAGAUCUUUUCCAAACCUAUCUAUUGUCAAGUCAAAUGCUAAUCAAUGCAAAAACCAU